AUCUCUUGGUUCUGGCAUCGAUGAAGAACGCAGCGAAAUGCGAUAAGUAAUGUGAAUUGCAGAAUUCAGUGAAUCAUCGAAUCUUUGAACGCACAUUGCGCCCCUCGGUAUUCCGGGGGGCAUGCCUGUCCGAGCGUCAUU
rnacentral:rRNA from 1 species